UGAAACCACCGGCAGAAGGAGCGCCCACCAAGUGUUCGGUUCUUUUCCCAAGUGGGAUAUUCAAACACAAGGGCACUAUUUGGUGAAGUUGAUGGUAAGAAACCAACUCCACUUUAUUAUCACUUGCUAAUGCCCAACAUCUCUGUUCUUGUGACCUAUAACUAUUUUCUACAGUUUAUUAUCUUUUAGUGAUCGAUUUGGUAAUCAGUUGGUGUAAUAUCUUGCCCUUUUUUAGUUUGUGCUGGCCUGAAAGCAUCUACUACGCUGUGAUAUGUGACUAAGUUCUUUGUGUUAUCACCGACUUCAUAUGUACUUGAGAAUAUAGAUGUCACCGAGCCACUUAAAUUAUAUUUUUAGAUGGAGUAAUAUUAGCACACCAAGGUUUGUAUAUAUAUAUUAUUGUUGUUUCUUUAAUAAACGAACGUUGCAGGUGGCUGAAGCUACAGUAAGAUCCAAACCAUACCGUCCAUGGCUAAAAUCUUAACAUUCUUGGUUUCCAUCCAAACCUGGGCUUUACAAGAUCAUGUCUUAAGGUUAAGCAUUUUCAGUUUGAGAAACCUACUCAAUGUUCUACCAUUUCCAGAUAAAUUCAACAAACAUCUGUUGUGUCGACUCUUAUGAUAGGUUUCAAUUUUAGGUAAAUGAUGAAUCAUUGGGGACAUAAUUUUUAUAGCAGAGGGGGAAAAUGUAUCCACAUCAAAAAGUUCCUUUUUCAUACCAAGGAACUGAGAAGUACUUCCGUCGGGAGUAAUUUCCACACUAAUGUUUCGCCUUAAAAGACAAUCUCAAGUAUUUUAAACAGUGUUGAUACCUUAGUUUCAUUUCAUUUUGAUUACCCGAACGUGAAAAGUAGUAUAUGUUAUGAGAUUAUUUUGGAGUGUGUUAUUUUAUCCGCAGAAAUUAGUGUUGUAUGCGUGAUUCGGGCUACAAUUUUAUUUUAUUUUUGCUUUUUUGGACGUAGUGAUUAAAUGGUGUGGGCUACAGCUGUAAUCUACCGAUUUGGUGUACGAAUCACUUAUUGAGAUGCUCCAUCAAAUAUUUCUGGAUGCCUCACUUUGGCUCUAUGUUUACUUGAUCAACUUAUCAAGCUUUGAGACUUCGGAACUUGCCUAUUUGAGGAGCUUGAUUUUCUAUAUCUUGGCCAAAGUGAGGCCCACGAAAAGUUGAUCAAUACGUACCUACACUUGUGAAAUUAUUCUCUGAAGUGAACAUCUUCACUGUUUAUCCUCUAUAAAACUUCAUACUUAGAUCUGGAUUACUCUAUGGCUGCGGUUAUAGUCUUCUUAAUUGUACCAUUACACUAGCAUUUUCUCAUCUGAUUCUAGGCAUUUGUUGCCCUCUCACAAUCCCAUGAAAACUUUGCAGUUGUUACUUGAGUUUAAGUUGUACAUAGUGAAGAUGAGAAAUGGUGGGUUCCUUUAAAUAUAUGGUUUGGGAGAUAUGCAGGAAGGUGUGCAUUUAUCUUUGCUUAUACUGUCGAAGCUUCCGUGCAACAAUUUCAAAAAUAUAACCAUUUUCAUAUAGUGCUAUUUUGAUUAUGCUGCAAGUUUGCAUAUCAGGGAUUAUCACAAAGUAGAUAUAUGUGGCCAUUUUAUUUUGGACAUGAGAGCUCUAGCUGAUAUUGUCCUUUUUUCUUCUGUAUAAUAAAUUGUGGAAUACCUGCUUACUCUCCAAGGAAGGAAUCAAGGAACAUAAACUUUUAGUACUCCCUCCAUAAACUAAUAUAAGAGUGUUUAGAUCACUACUUUAGUUAUCUAAACCCUCUUAUAUUAGUUCACAGAGGGAGUACUUGAUAGCAACGUGCAUUUUAUUUGCAUGUUUACUUGAUACAUUCAGUCUCAUGCGGCUUGGUCGAGAUUAUGUGGUGUAACUACAAACAUUCGUCCUAUGUGCUUUCUACAAGUCUGGACAUAACUACUUCACAUCUUCCAAUUAUGCCUUCUCUAGGAGAACAUGGUAGCCCUCCCAGUAUAUCUUAAUUUUUUAGCUGACAAUGUAUAGAUAGUCUUAAUAUCACUUUAAUUGCAGUGUAAUCCUCAAUGUAAGUUAUGUAACACAGUUUCAUUUUUCUAAUGACUUCAGCUGGAAAAUAAAUUACCAAGCUCAAAACCGGGGGAAAUCACUUUAGUACCAAAUAGGAAAACAGAUGAUGGAACUGCUUCUCAAGUCAAAGAUAUCCUAAGGCCACGACACAUAGUUUGUUGAAACAGCAAUAGAUUGACUGGAUACUCUCUCGCUUGAGCGAAGAUACCCUUGUGUAAGUGUUAAGUAUGGGGGCCUGCCUGAGGAGAUGGCACUCCGGAGCUCCGCCAGAUCAGGCUGAAGAACUUGGCGCACACGGUCAUGGGGUUACCCUCCAGAAGACACUGCAGGAGAGGAGAGGCCCGUGGGACACGAACUGUCUAUCUGACGAACAGAUUUACCAUGUCUACUUGCAGGUCAACUAAGCUGUUAAUCGGCCACUACUACUACUAGCUAUGCAAUUAAUUGUUAGCCUCAUGAUCCUGACAAUAGUUCUUUCUCCAUGAUUCUUUGCGUGAUUAUUAUUUCACCAA